UAGGAGCCAAAGUGGCAUAUUUUGGAACAUUGAUAUAAUUUGUGUCUCUAAUGCUCCGAUACUAACUAUACAGACGAACGGCAUCCUGUUUGAUCCUUUAUAUCACAACAGACGACUUGAGUUCGUGUACAUAA
rnacentral:snoRNA from 1 species